UUACAUGAUAGUUCAAAAUUAUCAGAUUUUUAUAACUGCAAGAAGUUCCCGAAGAUGCUGUUAAUGUCCAAAAAGGGUAAAGGCAAAGCAAGUAUUUUAGCAUAAGGUUGUUAUUUGAAAAAAAAAAAAAAAAAAAAAAUCCAAAUUCUGCACUUUUAAUAUUUGCUAAAUGGAAUAGAAGACAUGGAAUCUCUUGGACCAGCUCAGAAUAAACAGCCCAUUAUAGUGUGUAUUACAAGUUCAUUCUAUAUUAAAGCAGUAAAUCACUUAAACAUGCCCAAAUCAUGCCAU